GAUGAACGCUGGCGGCGUGCCUAAUACAUGCAAGUCGAGCGAACAGACGAGGAGCUUGCUCCUCUGACGUUAGCGGUGGACGGGUGAGUAACACGUGGAUAACCUACCUAUAAGACUGGGAUAACUUCGGGAAACCGGAGCUAAUACCGGAUAACAUGUUGAACCGCAUGGUUCAACAGUGAAAGACGGUCUUGCUGUCACUUAUAGAUGGAUCCGCGCCGCAUUAGCUAGUUGGUAAGGUAACGGCUUACCAAGGCAACGAUGCGUAGCCGACCUGAGAGGGUGAUCGGCCACACUGGAACUGAGACACGGUCCAGACUCCUACGGGAGGCAGCAGUAGGGAAUCUUCCGCAAUGGGCGAAAGCCUGACGGAGCAACGCCGCGUGAGUGAAGAAGGUCUUCGGAUCGUAAAACUCUGUUAUUAGGGAAGAACAAAUGUGUAAGUAACUAUGCACGUCUUGACGGUACCUAAUCAGAAAGCCACGGCUAACUACGUGCCAGCAGCCGCCGCCG
rnacentral:rRNA from 1 species